rnacentral:rRNA from 1 species
AACGGCCAUACCAUGCUGAAUAUACCGGUUCUCGUUAGAUCACCGAAGUCAAGCAUCAUUGGGCACGGUCAGUACUUGGGUGGGUGACCACCUGGGAACACCGCGUGCCGUU